GGAAGGCAGACCUGGGACACUGUGAGGGUGGAACUGACGGGCUUUAGGAGGAUUUGGGGGUCGCUGGGCAGAAGACAUCAAAACAGGCCUCACCUGAUAAAUAUUGUGGGACUGGGGACUGAUUCCUAAGCUGUACUCCUGACUUUUUCCCCACUGUCUGAUAAAACAUCAUUUAUCAUGAGAACAUUUGUUAAGUCAUGGAUUCCUCGGUGUCUGCAGAUUCUCAGGUCGCCUUGCAGAUCAUUCCAUGGAUACCACAGGCUUCUGACGUCUCAGAUUAUUUCCCAUUAUGAUUCUAUAAACCAGUGUAAAAAGGAACUGCCAGAAUACUUCAACUUUGCAAGUGAUGUCUUAGAUGAGUGGUCACAACUAGAAAAGGAUGGAAAAAAACCAGCAAAUCCAGCUUUUUGGUGGGUAAAUGAGGAGGGAGAGGAGGUGAAGUGGAGCUUUGAAGAGCUGGGAUUUCUCUCUAGGAAGGCAGCCAAUGUACUUUCUGAGGCAUGUGGUUUGCAGAGAGAAGACAGAGUUAUAGCAGUUCUGCCUCGUGUCCCAGAGUGGUGGCUCCUCAAUGUAGCCUGCAUGAGAACAGGAGUUGUCCUUAUUCCAGGAACAUCCCAACUGACAGCCAAAGACAUCUUAUACCGACUCCAGGCUUCAAAGGCCAAGUGCAUCAUUACCAGUGACACACUGGCACCUGCAGUGGAAUCUGUUGUGCCUGACAGCCAGUUUUUGAAAAAUAAACUAAUUGUAGGCAAAGGGAGCAGGGAUGGGUGGCUGAACCUCAAAGAACUCGUGGCGGUGGCAUCUGCUGACCAUAAAUGUGUCCAGACAAGAAGUCAAGACCCAAUGCUGAUCUAUUUUACUAGUGGAACUACAGGCUUUCCAAAAAUGGUGGUGCAGUCCCACAGCAGUUAUGGCAUCGGAUUUGCAACCAGUGGCAGGCAUUGGAUGAACUUGACUCCUUCAGAUAUAAUGUGGAAUACCUCUGAUACUGGAUGGGUAAAAGCAGCUUGGGGCAGUCUUUUUGCCCCAUGGAUCUGUGGAUCUUGUGUCUUUGUACACCACAUGCCACAGUUUAAGCCAGCAGUUAUUGCAGAGACUCUCUCAAGAUACCCCAUCACGACCUUCUGCACUGCCCCCACUGCCUACCGCAUGCUGGUCCAACACGAUCUGAGCAGCUACAAGUUCACAAGUCUGAAGCACUGUCUAUCUGGAGGGGAAGCGCUCAAUCCUGAAGUGAUGGCGAAGUGGAAAAUCCAGACAGGGCUGGAUAUCCAUGAAGGUUAUGGCCAGACCGAAACAGUGACAAUCUGUGCCAACAUGAAAGGAACAAAAAUUAAACCUGGCUCUUUGGGAAAAGCUGUUCCCCCUUACGAUGUGCAGAUCAUAGAUGACCAUGGGGCUGUUUUGCCUGCAGGAGAAGAGGGCAGCAUUGCUGUCCGAAUCCAGCCGACACGGCCCUUCUGUCUGUUCUCUGAGUACCUGGAUAAUCCAGAGAAAACUGCUGCCUCUGUGCGUGGAAAUUUUUAUGUCACUGGGGACAGGGCGAUUAUGGAUGAAGAGGGAUAUGUCUGGUUUGUUGGAAGAGAUGACGAUAUCAUUAAUUCUGCUGGGUAUCGUAUUGGCCCCUUUGAAGUGGAAAGUGCAUUAAUCCAACACCCAGCAGUGGCAGAGUCAGCUGUUGUCAGCAGUCCUGAUCCAGACCGAGGGGAGGUAGUCAAAGCCUUCAUUGUUUUAGCUCCUGCUUUUGCAUCACACGAUCCAGAAAAAUUAACUCAGGAGCUUCAACAGCAUGUCAAGAAAGUGACUGCACCUUACAAGUAUCCAAGGAAGGUGGAGUUUGUUCAAGAUCUGCCAAAGACACCUACUGGGAAAAUCCAGAGAAAGGUUCUAAAGAACACAGAGUGGGCAAGAGAAUGACAAGGGUGAGAGUGAUCUGGAAAGCAGGGAGAGAAAAUCUCCAUCAUCUGUACUGGUCAUACCACCUGACACUGAGCAUAUGGUCAUGACCCAGAGCACUAGUAAAACAAGCUAUGGAAGAAAAAGGAGAAAAACCCCAUGUGGCUUGAGGAUGUGUGAUGUUGGAACCACUUUUUCCAUUGACCUACAGGUUUGCAGAAGGCAAAAGCUGCAAGUAAUUAAGACUGUGGAAUGGGAGAGAGAAAGGACACACCUAGGAGCAUACAAAGGUUUAAUUUUUGUACUGGAAUUUAUAUAAACAGCUUCCUUAAAAAAAAUAGGUGUAACUACAAGAUUUUGAUAACAAUUAAACAGGAAAUUGAAAAUAAAAAUAAUGUUUGUCUGGAGGUGAGUAUCAACAAUUAAUUGACAUUCAAAAACUACUACUGUAACAUUCCCAAAUUCUUGCAGAGUGGAAAGCUGUUUUAUUUUAAUGCUUCUCUUCCUUUUGAUGAAUUUGAGAUCUACUUAAGUGGUUAAGGCAGAGGAAAAAGAAGACCCAAAGUGUUUCAGGUUAAGGUGCAAAUUAUGCACAAUUAACAAGGGUGUAAAUGAUUACAAGAAAAAGGUUACUUCAUGGAAAGACUUUUGCUGUUUAGUCUGUUUUACGUUCUGUUCUCAUUACUUCAGAAGAAGCAAACAAAAAAGUAGGAAGGGUUUCACUUCAAAUCCUUUUUGACAGAGAGUCCAGGUUUCACGUCUCCAGAUUCUCAGGUCGCCUUGCAGAUCAUUCCACGGAUACCAUAGGCUUCUGACGUCUCAGAUUAUUUCCCAUUAUGAAGCAAUACACCAGUAUAAAAAGGAAUUGCCAAAAUAUUUCAACUUUGCAAGCGAUGUCUUAGAUGAGUGGUCACAACUAGAAAAGGUAGUAUUUUUCUUUUACUUGAUAGACAUUGUGUUAUAGUUUAACCCCAGCCAGCAACCAAGUACCACAGAGCUACUGGAUCACAUGAACACACACAGGCACAGCCCCCAGGGGGAUGGGGAGGAGAAUCAGGAAAAAAGAGGUAAAACCCAUGGGUUGAGGUAAGAACAGUUUAGUAAUUGAAAUAAAAUAACAUAAUAAUAAUAAUAAUAAUCAUCAUAGCAGUAGUAGUAGUGAUGAAAAGAGACAACAGAGACAACAGGCAGAGAGACA